rnacentral:tRNA from 14 species
GGCCGGCUGGCCUAAUGGUAAGGCGUCUCUUUCCGGUGGAGAAGAUUGCAGGUUCGAAUCCUGCGUCGGUCG